UACUGGAUGCUAACGCUAGCCGACUAGCUACCGCGACUGUGUCCCUCCACGCAUGCGCGGCUUCCGUAAACAAGCUUUGCAAAAAAGAAAACAGCACCAACUUGUGGCCUGGCAUAGGAACUACAUCGUUUUCAUUGUUUCACGCGUCAUCGUGUACAGAGAUUGUUUCUGAAACGCCACCGUGUAAACGGAAGGCUGAAACUCGUGGAAACGGCAUCAUUUCCAGUGUAAACGGGGCCUUAAACCUUUGCCUCUUAUCCACAGGUGGGUGAAUAAGCUUGGUCUCGCCUCGAUUCAGUAUGAGCCAGCAGAAGGGAACGCUCCAGCCGUGUACCCACAGUAUGCCUGCUGCGAGUGUGAGCUGUCCUGCUGGGAUCCUCCCACACUGGGUGGCUGUGGCUCAGGAGUUGGAGUGGGUAAUCUACGAACUGGAAGCUUAGCGGUUCAAUCCCUGGAUGGAUGUUCAGAGUGUUACAGUGAAGCCAGUGAUCACGAAGAAGCUGAAACCACAGACAUACCACCACCACCCCCACCAUACUCCGAACAGACCCUGCAGGACCCUGUGGAUGCCUCCGGCCCACCUGGUAGAACACAUGAGGGCAUCCUUCCUCCUCCUUACUCCUCUGCAGCCUCCAGCGAAGCUAACGGUUCGCUCUCCUCACCUGUCAGCACGAUGACAUCUCAGAGCUCCGCCUCUUCACUCACCAAUCAAAGACCGUCCUGGUUGGACCUGGUCUCGCACGCAUCUCCUGCUGCUGGGGAAACUGCAGUGCUGUGCUCAGCCCAGGUACACUUACAUCAGUGUCCACAGGAGGAGACCGCAGAGGCUGCGAGGCUGGCUACCCAGGACUGGUGACCUGUACAGGGUGUACCCCGUCUCUCGCCCUGUCAGCUGGACAGCUUGUCUAGCAGGACAAGCACAGGCAUGAGUCCACUGUCAGAAGAUCAUUUGUAACCUUCACUA